rnacentral:pre_miRNA from 1 species
AGUAGAAUUGCUGGGUUGUAUAGUAACUCUAUAUUUAAUCUUUUGAAAAGUUGCCAAACUUUUUCAAAGUGGCUGCACUGUUUUCAAUUCUCACCAGUAGU